GAUGAAGAACGUAGCGAAAUGCGAUACUUGGUGUGAAUUGCAGAAUCCCGUGAACCAUCGAGUCUUUGAACGCAAGUUGCGCCCGAAGCCAUUAGGCCGAGGGCACGCCUGCCUGGGCGUCACACGUCGUUGCCCCCCCAUCUACUCCUUCGGGAUUGCGGGGGGCGGAUGAUGGCCUCCCGUGCGCCUCGCCGCGCGGUUGGCAUAAAUGCCAAGUCCUCGGCGACGCACGCCACGACAAUCGGUGGUUGCGAAACCUCGGUUGCCCGUCGUGUGCGGUAGUCGCGCAUCGAGGGCUCGAAAAAAUUGCCGGGUUCCGGCUCGGCUUUCAACGCGACCCCAGGUCAGGCGGGGUUACCCGCUGAAUUUAAGCAUAUCAAUAAGCGGAGGA
rnacentral:misc_RNA from 1 species